rnacentral:rRNA from 1 species
GACGAACGCUGGCGGCGUGCUUAACACAUGCAAGUCGAACGGAAAGGCCCUGCUUUUGUGGGGUGCUCGAGUGGCGAACGGGUGAGUAACACGUGAGUAACCUGCCCUUGACUUUGGGAUAACUUCAGGAAACUGGGGCUAAUACCGGAUAGGAGCUCCUGCUGCAUGGUGGGGGUUGGAAAGUUUCGGCGGUUGGGGAUGGACUCGCGGCUUAUCAGCUUGUUGGUGGGGUAGUGGCUUACCAAGGCUUUGACGGGUAGCCGGCCUGAGAGGGUGACCGGCCACAUUGGGCCUGAGAUACGGCCCAGACUACUACGGGAGGCAGCAGUGGGGAAUAUUGCACAAUGGGCGGAAGCCUGAUGCAGCAACGCCGCGUGCGGGAUGACGGCCUUCGGGUUGUAAACCGCAUUCGCCUGUGACGAAGCGUGAGUGACGGUAAUGGGUAAAGAAGCACCGGCUAACUACGUG